AACGAACGCUGGCGGCGCGUCUUAAACAUGCAAGUCGAACGGCAGGAAGGGGCUUGCCCCUUCUGAGAGUGGCGGACUGGUGAGUAACACGUGGGUGACAUACCUUUUAGUUGGGGAUAGCUAUUAGAAAUAGUAGGUAAUACCGAAUGUGACCGUACCUGUUAGAGGGGUACGAGGAAAGGAGCUAAGGCUUCGCUAAAAGAAUGGCUCGCGGCCCAUUAUGCUCGUUGGUGAGGUAACGGCCCACCAAGGCGAUGAUGGGUAUCCGGCCUGAGAGGGUGAACGGACACAUUGGGACUGAGAUACGGCCCAGACUGCUACGGGAGGCAGCAGUUAAGAAUAUUCCGCAAUGGACGAAAGUCUGACGGAGCGACGCCGCGUGGAUGAAGAAUGCCGAAAGGUUGUAAAAUCCUUUUAAGCCUGAUGAAUAAGCACAGUAGGGAAUGAUUGUGCGGUGACCGUAGGGCUUGAAUAAGCACCGGCUAAUUACGUG
rnacentral:rRNA from 1 species